AGAUAAAGAUGCACUUAGAGAUGAAUAUGAUGAUCUCUCUGAUUUGAACGCAGUACAAAUGGAGAGUGUCCGAGAAUGGGAAAUGCAGUUUAAAGAAAAAUAUGAUUAUGUAGGCAGACUCCUAAAACCAGGGGAAGAACCAUCAGAAUAUACAGAUGAAGAAGAUACCAAGGAUCACAAUAAACAGGAUUGAACUUUGUAAACAACCAAAGUCAGGGGCCUUCAGAACUGCAAUUCUUACUCCCUUUCACAGAAUGUCCAGCGUCUUUGGGUUUGAGUCACCUGCUGCGAAAAACAUUCAACAGAUUGUAUACGAGAUAAAUGAGUCUCACUAUGAAGAUUUAAAUACUAGACAUUAUUUAUGCUGCCAAACUCAUUUGUUGCAGUUGUUUGUAAUGUCUGGUGGGGCUUCAUCAUCCUGAAAAGGAGAUAGGGAUAUUUUUUAAAGAGCAAGGAAGUCAUGAGGUUACUUAUUUUCUUUUUAUUUUUCUUUUCUUUUCCCUUUCCUCCCUCCUCCUCCCCCUCCCCUCCCCUUUCCUUUCCUUUCUUUUCUUUUCCUUUCCUUUCUUUCAAAGACAACCAGAUAUGUAUUUGCUACUCAAGUGUACAGAACAGAUCUCCUUAAAAAAUAGCAAUGGACUCCUAUUUCCCAUGCUGUGUUUUUGUUUUAGCAUUGUGGAAGGAGGAGACCUGGGCAGGGGAGGUGGGGGUUGCACAUCAGUUUGAAUAGUUUAGGCUACUGAAACAUUAAAAUGUGAAUUCCAAAACUUCUUUUUGGCUUUGUCAGGGAAAAUUAAAAAAAAAAAAAGGGCAAAAAAACCUUUAUUUCUAAGAAAUCUUUAAAACUUAGAAGAAGGACUUUCAAAUGGGUUAAAGUUAAAGCUAAUUCCCCAACAGUAAGAUCAUUUGAAACCAGUUUUUAUCCCUUUCCUUCCCCUAGAUCAAAUCAAUAUUAAUUGUGCCUUAUUUCACUUCCAAUAGACUUGAAUUAUUUUUAGGGAAAGCCCCCUGUGAGAAUUCAGAAGUCACUACAAGCAGCAUUGAGAGUGAAGUUGGAAUAUUCUAUUGACCGUAAAACCUUGUUAUCAUUCUGUGUAUAUAGAAUGUAAAAGGAAUAUUCAGUGUUAACUGCCAUGUAUGUUAAUUUACACAAAUUAACAUUGUAAUGGCCAAAUGCAUUCCCCCAUGCUUUUCUCUUUUCAAAAAAAUUGAAAAACAAAUCAACAACACUUAACCCCCAACAGCUGCCUAAUUUUAGGAGUCUGACCCUCACAUCUCACUGGUGUGGGUGCAUGGGGCCUCAGUAUGGAUGUCUGUAUGGGUGUGUCUGAAUGUGUGUGAGCGCGCCUUGGAAAGGACUCUUUCUGCAGAUACUGUAAAUACAAGUACCAUUUUAAUAAAGCAUGUACAAUAAACCAAAA